rnacentral:misc_RNA from 1 species
CCAUGAUUGGCCAGAUAGAAGGCCACGUGAUGAUAGAGAUAUAGGGCGUGAAAGGGAUAAAGAUAGGGAUCGAGAUAGGGAUAGAGAACGAUCUCGAGAUUAUGAGCGUGGCCAUCAUGAUCGUGAUCGUGAACGUGAUAGGGAUCGUGACCGUGAUAGGUACAAGGAAGAUAGGGACAGAUAUUCUGAUCAUCAUAGGUACAGAGAUCGGGAACCAGAGCAUGAAGAGGAUUGGGAAAGGGG